AGUGAACGCUGGCGGUAGGCCUAACACAUGCAAGUCGAACGGCAGCACAGUAAGAGCUUGCUCUUACGGGUGGCGAGUGGCGGACGGGUGAGGAAUACAUCGGAAUCUACUUUUUCGUGGGGGAUAACGUAGGGAAACUUACGCUAAUACCGCAUACGACCUACGGGUGAAAGCAGGGGAUCUUCGGACCUUGCGCGAUUGAAUGAGCCGAUGUCGGAUUAGCUAGUUGGCGGGGUAAAGGCCCACCAAGGCGACGAUCCGUAGCUGGUCUGAGAGGAUGAGCAACCACACUGACACUGAGACACGGUCCAGACUCCUACGGGAUGCAGCGGUGGGGAAUAUUGGACAAUGGGCGCAAGCCUGAUCCAGCCAUACCGCGUGGGUGAAGAAGGCCUUCGGGUUGUAAAGCCCUUUUGUUGGGAAAGAAAAGCAGCAGGUUAAUACCCCGCUGUUCUGACGGUACCCAAAGAAUAAGCACCGGCUAACUUCGUG
rnacentral:rRNA from 1 species